AGUGAACGCUGGCGGUAGGCCUAACACAUGCAAGUCGAACGGCAGCACAGUAAGAGCUUGCUCUUACGGGUGGCGAGUGGCGGACGGGUGAGGAAUACAUCGGAAUCUACUUUUUCGUGGGGGAUAACGUAGGGAAACUUACGCUAAUACCGCAUACGACCUACGGGUGAAAGCAGGGGAUCUUCGGACCUUGCGCGAUUGAAUGAGCCGAUGUCGGAUUAGCUAGUUGGCGGGGUAAAGGCCCACCAAGGCGACGAUCCGUAGCUGGUCUGAGAGGAUGAUCAGCCACACUGGAACUGAGACACGGUCCAGACUCCUACGGGAGGCAGCAGUGGGGAAUAUUGGACAAUGGGCGAAAGCCUGAUCCAGCCAUACCGGGUGGGUGAAGAAGGCCUUCGGGUUGUAAAGCCCUUUUGUUGGGAAAGAAAAGCAGCAGGUUAAUACCCCGCUGUUCUGACGGUACCCAAAGAAUAAGCACCGGCUAACUUCGUG
rnacentral:rRNA from 1 species